CGAAUGCUAAGCGACCACCAUAUUAAAACUUGGAACAUUUAAGGUAUUACAUGUUCUUCGAGGUUGGCACUUGCGUAUUUUUGCGUACUGCACGCAUCGCAGACGAUGCUGUCUUCCAGCCCGCCCGCACACUAUCGCAGACGACACUUUUCCAAACGUUCGUUGUGGUGCUUCGCGUCACGGCGUUCCUCCGUCCAUAUGCGACACCGAGCGCUUUGCCUGCAGCUCUCUGGUGAUCGUACGUCCUGGGCCGACUUCGAGGAGAACUGUGCCGGCAUUUGUCAUAUAGUGUCUGAGGGAAACCCAGUCCUGGCUCCGAAGGAGGUUAUCUCAAGGACACCGCCUCGGAUCCGUACAGACCUACUUCCUCAACAUCCCUUCAACGCCGCUGAAUCGGUUCAGCAUCACCUUCUAUCCAAGGACGCAUCGUGAAGCCUUACGAGCGACAGUGACAUCUGUGUAUGCGGAGUGAAGCAUCGGAUAGCUUGCGCGCGUCGUGGGUCCCAGAUAUCGUGGCACGCUAGCCUCGUCAGAAUGGUGCCGUGACCAGGACCUAAAAGGAUAAAAGACUGCAGAGACUACAAGAUUGAAUGUCGGCAUCAAUCAUUUCGUCGACCCUGAGCGUCCUUGAACGUGAAAAACGAGGGAGGUGCCGUUGCUAGAGGCACCAGCAGCUGACUCGAACCCCACUCGGCUACUGAAAGCAUCUCCUCGACUUCCGACACUGCACAACGUUGUUGAUCCGUAGCGAAGUGUUCGGCCAAUAACGGACGUAAGAAAAAGAAAGGACGAUUUGCUGCAGCUUGUCAUCGAGAAAAAAGCGUCUCCUCGACUUCCGACACUGCACAAUGUUGUUGAUCCGUAGCGAAGUGUUUGCGCCAAUAACAGAAAAGAGGAGGACGAUUUGCCGCCGCUUGUCAUCGAGAAAAUUUCGCCCAACUCGAGCGGAGAAUUCUCAAUGAAGGAGGACAGCAGAUGGUUCCUCUCUGAUGGAUGACUCCGACGUGAUGCGAAAGAGAACUUCCCCUUCGGAUGGCCU